rnacentral:rRNA from 1 species
AUACGGAGGGUGCGAGCGUUAAUCGGAAUUACUGGGCGUAAAGGACGCGUAGGCGGGUUGGCAAGUCAGAUGUGAAAUCCUACAGCUUAACUGUAGAACUGCAUUUGAAACUGCUAACCUAGAGUAUGGGAGGGGGAGAUGGAAUUAGUGGUGUAGGGGUAAAAUCCGUAGAUAUCACUAGGAAUACCGAAAGCGAAGGCGAUCUCCUGGAACAUAACUGACGCUAAGGCGUGAAAGCGUGGGGAGCAAACAGGAUUAGAAACCCUGGUAGUCC